rnacentral:tRNA from 2 species
GGGGGAUUAGCUCAGUUGGCUAGAGCGCCUGCCUUGCACGCAGGAGGUCAUCGGUUCGACUCCGAUAUUCUCCACGA